AAAAUGACUCUCGGCAACGGAUAUCUCGGCUCUCGCAUCGAUGAAGAACGUAGCGAAAUGCGAUACUUGGUGUGAAUUGCAGAAUCCCGUGAACCAUCGAGUCUUUGAACGCAAGUUGCGCCCGAAGCCUUUAGGCCGAGGGCACGCCUGCCUGGGUGUCACAC
rnacentral:rRNA from 1 species